AAGUGAGGCGGCGCCCCCCGCCCCUGCGGCCUCGCGCGCCCCCUCCUGGGCGACCGACCUCGCCCUCGCGUCCGCGGCGUCCCCUGCCGGCCGGGCGGCGAUUUGCAGGUCCAGCCGGCGCCGGUUUCGCGCGGCGGCUCAACGUCCACGGAGCCCCAGGAAUACCCACCCGCUGCCCAGAUCGGCAGCCGCUGCUGCGGGGAGAAGCAGUAUCGUGCAGGGCGGGCACGCUGGUCUUGCUUACAGUUGGGCUUCGAUUUUAUAGGUUCAGAAAGUGUGUCUCAGAGGAGUUAGAGAAGACCGAUUAAUAGAUGACAGUGCUAAAGCCUGGAUCUCCUGAAUCCUGGAUGAAAGUGUCCUAAGUUAGAUUCCUGGGAAGAAAAUUCUGAGACACAUUCUGCAGGAUGAUUAUUAGGGCUCAUCCUUGGUUUCAACACCCAUAGAAGGAAGGGGGAAGAAGAAAUCGAACAGAGAGACAGAAGUCGAGAUGCAUUUCAGGCCAGGACUCUUGGCUGAACCCACAGGAGCUCUGGAGCUAGAAUGGCCCUUCAGAGUUGUCCUGAGUUGGUCUGAGAUGGCCAGUUCUUUAUAUUCCUGCAUGGGAUAGUCACUGGAUGUCCACCCCAGGAAGGGGUGUGGCCAAGACAGUCCCUAAAAUGCCCGCCAGCACUCCCUACACCUGGAGCGACAAGACCAACAUCACAGGGGGAAUGCACUGGGUGAUGGAUCACAGCGUUCAUCCCAGAAGAUGAGGAUACAGAAUUGGCUGACAACUACGUUCUAAAUGUCAGUGUUCUCCAAAAUUCAUAUGUUGAAACUUAAUUCCCAAUGUGAUGGCAUUAGGAAGUGGGGCCUUUGGGGGAGGGACUAUAGGUCAUGAGGGUGUAACCCUCAUCAAUGGGAUUAGUGUCCAGAGAGCUGCCUUGCCCUUCCACCAUGUGAGGACAUAGUGAGAAGGUGCCAUCUAUGAACUAGGAAGUGGGCGCUUACCACCAGACACCCACUCUUCUGGCAACUUGAUCUUGAAUUUCCCAGCCUCCAGAACUCUGAGAAAUCAAUUUCUGUUAAUUAUAAGCUACCCAGUCGAUAGCAUUUUGUUAAAGCUGCUGGAACUAAACUAAGACACUGACGCUUUCUGCGACAAAAAGAUAGAGUGAGUCUCUAUAGCAUACCAUGUAACAGAUGUUUUUGGAAAAAUAACCUCAUUUCAUAUGUUUCCUCAAGAUAAAAAGAAUGUCAUAACAACAAAUGAGAAAAUAGUUGCUUUAGAAAUAUUGCACCCUAUGGAGAGAGUAUUUUGGAUUUUGGUUUUUUGUUUUGUUUUUUAACUUUUGUUUUAGGUUUGGGGGUACAUAUGCAGGUUUGUUAUAUAGGUAAACUCAUGUCACAGGGGUUUGUUGUACAGAUAAUUUCCUCACCCAGGUACUAAGCCUAGUACCCAAUAGUUGCUUUUUCUCCUCCUCUCUCUCCUCCCACCCUCCACCCUCAAAUAGGCCCCAGUGUAUGUUGUUCUCUUCAUUAUGUUCAUGAAGUUGAGAGAGUGUUUUGAAAAAGAAUGUUGGAAAGCAUUUCCACUGUUAGAUGAUUUUAAGUCAAAAAGUUAUACAACAGUGUGACCUAUUUGCACACAAGCAUGGACACAGAAUUGUGUCAUAUGUUUAAAACUUUUCUAGAUCCUUUUGUGGUUCAUAAGCUUGAUGAUUGAGUUUUCGCGUCCACAUGUGAGAUGUGCCUCCCUUGAGCCUUGUCAUUGGCACAUUACCUGCCUGAUGUGAACAAUAAAAAUAAAAAAUAAAAAUUUGCUAAGCAGA
ensembl:lncRNA ELOVL2-AS1 ELOVL2 antisense RNA 1